CUCUCCGUUUCGUUCAUCAGUGGUCUCUCGGAUCACUCUCAUCAGCUGUUGCACUGGCGGGGUUGCUUUCAUUCUAAAGCGGGAAACUUUCAUCCACCUUCCAACCAGGAUUCCAUGUAGCUGUCUGAACAGAUCAGUUUUAAAAACUGAAAUGGCUAGAAGGUGUCUGUUGUUUCUGGAGCGGUUGAUCUGUGUGUUCAUUGCUCUGUCACCGGCUGCAUCGCAGAGGAGAG